UUCAGAUGGAGGAAAGAGGUUGCACCAGAGCCUUGGAUCUGCUUUGCCUGAGGGAUGGUUCGGACUGCGUGAGUGAGUCACAGAAGGGUCUCAUGGGAACAGAAAGUUUGAGAGAGUUUACUGUUUGUGCAAAAUGACUGGUUGGGUAAAGAAGUCCAAAGUUUAUUAUCUGCAGAACAAAUAAAACCUGGGCAAAGGUAUAAAAGCAGUGUGUUCCUGAGGUCCAAAUUGCAGGAGGAAGACCAAAGGAAAAUAAAAGGCAGGGUUC